UGGCCUAAGGGCUGAACCAGCAAUUUGGAAGGGCGCGCUCUUUAGAAGAAGAACCUCAAUUUUCUUUUUUAUAUUAAUAAAUUUAUUUAGAGUGCAGCCGGUUGUGCUGUUGCAAGAGGUUUUAUUGCAAAGUAAUUUUACGGUUGAUAUGCAACGAGGAAUUUGUAUGUAACCCUGGAUAGGAAGUAACAAUGACCAUUUUUAUCCAUAAGUCUUGGCUAAAUUACGUGCCAGCAGUCGCGGUAAUACGUAGAAGACUAGUGUUAUUCAUGUUUAAUCGGUUUAAAGGGUACCUAGACGGAAGAUCAAGCCUGCUAAAAGCAUCGGUACUAAUUUUCUAGAGUUUUAUGGAAGAAUGUCGAACUACUAGAUGAGGGAUAAAAUCCAUUGAUACUAGUAAGACGGGUAACAGCGAAGGCGCCAUUCUAUGUAAAAACUGACGUUGAGGGACGAAGCCUUGGGUAGCGAUAAGGAUUAGAUACCCUAGUAGUCCAAGGAGAAAAUAAUGAGUGCCAUAGACUAGUUAAGUUUAGUUUAUAAAUUAAAGUGUAAGCAUUCCACCUCAUGAGUAAAGUGGCAACACCGAAAUUGAAAUCAUUAGACCGUGUCUGAAACCAGUAGUGAAGUAUGUUAUUUAAUUCGAUGAUCCGCGAAUAACCUUACCACGUUUUGAAUAUUUUUUUAUAUCUUACAAGCGUUGCACGGCUGUCUUCAGUUAAUGUCGUGAGAUUUUGGUUCGUUCCUUUAAUUAACGAAAGCCCCUGUU
rnacentral:rRNA from 1 species